ACUUAGUGGCGGACGGGUGAGUAACGCGUGGGUAACCUGCCUCACACAGGGGGAUAACAGUUGGAAACGACCGCUAAUACCGCAUAACCCGCCGGUGCCGCAUGGCACUGACGGAAAAGAUUUAUCGGUGUGAGAUGGACCCGCGUCUGAUUAGCCAGUUGGCAGGGUAACGGCCUACCAAAGCGACGAUCAGUAGCCGGCCUGAGAGGGUGAACGGCCACAUUGGGACUGAGACACGGCCCAAGCUCCUACGGAAGGCAGCAG
rnacentral:rRNA from 1 species